GAAACUUUGAAGGAAAGAUGAGAUGGCCAGUGUGCGUGUAGUCUGGGUAAGGUUUUGUAAUUAAACGUUUACACAGCCAUUUUAUUCUCAACUUUCUCACCACUGGAUGUUGGUGAGCUACACUCUCUGGUCCUUCCGUAACACCCGGAUUUCUGCAAAAUGCAAUUACAGACAGGUCUGUAAGAAGAUCUGAAGACCUGAAGUAAGACGUCUGGAAGAAGAUUUUCAGUAUUCAAGUAAGCAGUGUAUCAUGAUAUUAUACAUGCAAUUAAAGUGGUACAGAGUCAAUGAAAACAGCCACUUCUGUCCUGACGGUUCAUUUAAACCGACUAGGUUACAAACUAUUUUCCCGCGACGCUGCUGAAUUCUUAACUCUGCUAUACAAGCCGCUCGUUUUUUAUUUUUAUUUUUUAUUGGGGAAAUAUAUACAGUACAGAUAACUAAGCAGAAUCGAGUCAGAAGACCCUCGGUAUUUUCCUGAUUCAUACAUGAACCGAACGAAAAAGUUAUAGUUCCUUCGGCAGUUAUUAACUAUAUAUACAUAUUUAUACGUACACGCACUACCUUGACUGAAACGUUUCCCGUGAUCUUAAAAAGCUUUUGAUCUGAAGGUGUGCGAUUUAAAUGUUUGAAACGGUGUCGUGGAUAGAAAUAUAAUCGUGCCGACGUAUUCAUUUCUAUCGGAAGAAAACGAACGUUUUAUUUAAACGGACGACUCGGAGCGGAACGUUUCCGAAAAGCGGCCGAGAAGAGUCCGGCGUCGGUGGGAACUCCUUUAAUGCUGUUUUAAAGGCAUCACAGGGGAAUCCCUGAAGAAAUCGGUGGAGAAAACGCCGAGGAUACAUUUCCGGAAAUUCGAGGCGAAAAAGCGCGUCGACUUUGAAGACGCUAAAAUACUCAAUUAUUUUGAUUUUUG
ensembl:lncRNA